UACGUAGGGUGCAAGCGUUAAUCGGAAUACUGGGCGUAAAGCGUGCGCAGGCGGUUUUGUAAGUCUGUUGUGAAAUCCCCGGGCUCAACCUGGGAAUGGCAAUGGAGACUGCAAGGCUAGAGUUUGGCAGAGGGGGGGUAGAAUUCCACGUGUAGCAGUGAAAUGCGUAGAUAUGUGGAGGAACACCGAUGGGCGAAAGGGCAGCCCCCCCUGGGGUCAAAAACUGACGCUCAUGCACGAAAGCGUGGGGAGCAAAC
rnacentral:rRNA from 1 species